ensembl:lncRNA
CUGUAGCUGUAGAGCCCUGCAGAACUUUACGUUCGUUGGUCUUUUGUUGUUUUUUUGUUGUUUUUUUGUUGUUCAUGCAAAAAUAAAUGAAGAAGUACACUUUCCAAGCUGCGCUUUGGUCUUAUGCUGACGACGGACGUAACAAUAGCAGUGAGUACUGGGGUACCAGCCGGUUCUGGUGCCUUGACCGAGGUUCCUGCGGUGGACGACUGGUUCAGGCGCGCGGAGGAGACAUUGGAGGCUGUCCGUGUUCACCUUCAGCAGGCUGUGACUCGCCAAAAGGAGAACGCAGAUCGCCACCGCAGUAAGGCCCCGGUGUUCGGCUCUCGAAUCAAAACCUGCCCCUCCGCCUGCCCUGCCGGAAGCUGGGUCCGCGGUUUGUCCUGAGGAGAGUGAACAAGAAACACGUUGAUCUGACUGUGAUCUGACAACGGUGUCUGUGGUCUGACAGUGAAUGCACUAAUGGAGGAGGGGUCGAUGUCAGUGUAGGCAUAAUCGAAUACACUUGUCCCAAGAGCUGAGCAGCAGUACACUUUCUCUAUGGCCUGAGGGACUGCCACGGUCGUCAUAAAGAGGAGACCAAGCCUGGUAGUAGCUACCAUGCAGAGGAGCUCCAAGCUGACUGACCGGACAGGGACACCCUGCUCUCCCAGGAGGCUGGACAGGCCAUCCCCAGACUUCUGGGCCUCCUCCACCACCUCUGGCUCCUGCCCUAC